rnacentral:lncRNA from 1 species
GGGAAGAGGAAGGAGGCCGCGGCUUCGCGUCCCGCCUCUCGCCUGGCUGGCCGUGGGGGGCCUGGACGCAGUGGCCUCCCGAAUCUCCCAGGACCCUAAUAUCGCCCGAGGAUGCUGGGAGGAACGCUGAGCCGACCUCUCCGUUAGGCUGAAGAUUGCACAAACCAUGCUAAUGGCCAGCAUGGAUGGAGGGAGCGUGUGAGAUGUGUGGGGCAGCGUGCUGCAUCUCAGCCAACUCCAGGAGGUAUAGAGCAAUAAAAGAAGAAUUCAAGCAAAGGGAUCAGGAAGAGGAUUGCUACUAAGAGGCAGAGAAACCAAUGAAGCCUUUUGCCAUCUCACACUGGAAAGACAAAAAGUCAUAGAGGCUUGAUUUUUAUAAGGAAAGAGAAGUGAGAAACUGACCUCGAUACUUUGUUGGACUUGCCUAAAGACAUUUGCUGAAUUCUCGGGCUGUGCUGGGAUGGAGAUUAGAGGCCAAAUAAAAACCUCUGGGUGAAGCCACUCAGAUUUACAGGUUUCCAUCUAAUCUUGUCAGCUUCCAAAAGCAGGAGGAGUCUUGGCCAACACAUGCUUCACCCUUUCAGGCAGCUGACAUAAUUGAGCUAAGACAGGAUGUCCAGGAUGUCAUCUUUCAAGAUGGAACGAAGUCUGUUUGUGGAAACACCCUUCCCCUCUGUUUACUUGGACCUGAUUUUGAAAGUAACAAGUCACUUUAUUUGGGCUGGAGGAAAAAGCACUAAACCAGAUGUUGAGGUGACCGGGAUUCCUGGAAGACAUUCUUCUCUCCAACGAGACACAUGAUGCAUGAAGUAGGAGCCCCUGGCAAGGAGCCCAGGCUGCCAUGGCCUCGCUCGCUCCUGCUUCCCGGCAUGGCCCCGAGGCUAGCUGCCUCUGUACUGCCUGAGCAUCGUCCCCUGGCGUGUCACCAGACUACCCACUACCUGUGCUUGCACCUGCAGGUGGGCAGUUCAGUCGUUGCAGGCUGAAGCUCCCUGUCACAGGAGUCCAUCAGCACUGGAGUUUACCAAAUGGCCCAGUCCAGGAAGCAUGCUCAUGGCAAUACCCGGAGUCUCCACUGCAAGACCAGAGUGACGGAGGCAGCAGAGCUCCUCAGCAGGCCAGGAGUCUCCAGAGGCACUGCCGAAUGUCUAAGAAGCAACCUCAUUGUAUUCCCAAGACCUGGGAAUCCAGGUCUCGCAGAUACGAUGAUACAAUCUAUAGCCAGGACAUCUCUUCAUGUGUAGUUUUCAAUGAAUACUAGGAUAAGCAACUAUCCCAGUCUUCCCAGGAUUGAGGGGCUUCUCCAGAUGCUGCACUUCUGGUGCUAAAAAUGAGAAACUGAAAUGAAUUAGUCACCCAAGGAAUGCUGACCCUGUGCUAUAUGAUCACAUUUACUCUUUAAAGCAAUGCUUUGAGGCCAAGCUAUAAAUAAAGGGUGGACUGACCUUGUCAACUGUUAAAUUGGAGCCGUGGUGCGUUGCCUAGAACAUUGCGGAUGACCCCGAGCAGCACAGCAGAUCAACGGCUGAGAAAGAGCUCAUUCAGCUCAUCUAACUAGGAUGCUGUCCUGCCAGAGCCCUGGGGGUUCUCGUCUCCUGGGGCAAAAGCAGCAUGCAACCCUUAUGAACCCAUCUUGGAAGGCAUUCGGGGAGCCCAAGACAAGACCAUUGGGAGCCUCAGGGUCACUUGUGGGGGUCUCUGUGCUGGACGGCUGUACCUCUCAUGAAAUGGACAACUGACCAUAAGAAGGAGGUAAGUUACGCAUGGACGGGAAAAUAAGAAGCUCCUACUUAGGGCUGUGAUAUGUGCGGUAACCAUUUAACGUUAAUAGCAUCCAUGUGAGACAGGUGCUAGUACUGCCCCAUUUCAUAUUGGCGGACAUUGAGGCACACAGACUGUAUGACUUGCCCAAGGCUGCCCACCUGGUUAGGGGAGCUCCAGGAUUCCAAUCCAGUCCGAACUCAACACGAGGGGUGGCACCUACAGGCUGGGGUCAAUCUGGAAGACUGCCUGUUGUAUGGCCUGGCAACUAAAAAUUGUUUUUUACAUUUUUAAAUGGUUGACAAAAUUAAAAUAAGAGAAUAUUUCAUGACAUCAUCAAAUUACACGAAAUGCAAAUUUCAGCAUCUACAAAUACAGUUUGAUUGGGACACAGCCACCCUCAUCCGUUUGCAGGCUAUCCCUGGCUGCUUACAGGGUCCACAUAGUCCAUAAAGCCUGAGAUAUUUACUAUCUGGCCUUUUACAGAAAAAGUCCCCAAACACUAAUCUGAAAUGUUUGCAUCAGAACCCCUUGUGGGGCUUGUUAGAAUGCAGCUCCCUGGUCCCACACCCAGUCUCUGAUUCAGUAAGUCUGGAGCAGGGCCUGGGAAUUUACAUUUCAAAAUAAUUUCCCAGGUGAUGCUCAUACUGGUCCACAGACCACUUUGAGAGCCACUACCCUAAACCCCAGUGCUCUACUGCUUGUUGUCAGGAUGGCUGGGUCAGGUGAGAAAGAAGCCUAGACAUCCCUAGAGCCACCUGCUGUGCAGCCACCUUUUGAGAAAGUGUCCCCAGUGAUCUUUUCCCAGGUUAGCCUUUGUGGCUUGGGCAUCCAGCCUUUCAGAGAUAUGAAACCACACACGUCUUCAGAGUGAACAGCUGCUCACCCCGAUGUGCUCAAGGGGUGCAGGAUGUGGACACAUCCUACUGAAUGAGCCAGACAACGUAACUGGAUCUGUCCAGAACACCACGAUGGGUGACAUUGCCAUCUGCAGCAGUGCUGUACUUCCUCCCGCCAAUUUGUAAAGUGCAGACAGGAUGCUGGAUCAACUGGCUGCUGCUGAGGCCAGUGACCUCUAGGGCGUAUUCCCACGUUCCUUUGCAGUAGCUGCUCACCUUUGUAAGCAUGUGAGUUAUUCGUGCUGUCUGUUGUGAUCCUAAGGAAUCCAAUGGUCAGGACCAGAACUUCUGAAGUACAGCCCAGCAUUGCCGUCUGGCAUCCCCAGAAAGCAGAUUUUGAGAUUGGCAUGAUGGCCGUUAAGCAGGGCGUUCUCUCUGGAGCAAUGUCUAGCCGGGGUCGGAGUGGGGAGAGAGAGAGGGGGGCUGCUGAGAAUAUCACAGAGAGAUGGCAGCCUUUCUGCAGCAUAGGCCUAAGUGCACACUCACCUGGCUAUCACUGAGAGGACUCUCUGUUCAACAGGGCCACUCAGGGCUUCCCCUGCAUGGAGAUCUGAGUGUCCAGGGAGGGGACGUGGUGAGCAUUUCUCUGGUCAAAGUGUGCAAAGCAAAAUCUGCCCCAUUCCUGCCAAAGUGGUUGACAUGGAGGAAAGGGGAGUGCCAGUUCUGUAGGCUGAGGUGGUGGCUGUUAGAACUGCUCCUAGGCUAGUUGGUGUUCUGGAAGGUUCCCCUCUAUGUGAGAUGAAAGAGCAUAUCUUUAAGAGCUGCAACUUUGAAGCUCUAAUAUAGAAUGCUUUUGGUGGCAAGCAUUACUUCGGAAAGGGCUUGAAGACCCCUGAAGAUCCUUGGUGGCCUAGGCAGUUCCUUUAUUGCCAGGGCUGUGCAGGACUAAGCUUCAACAGCGCCACCAUGUGACAAGAAGCAAUUGCAGUGGUGCAUUGAGGGUUUUCUUUUGCACUGAGAACUCAAGUCCCACUUUCACCCUUGGACCUGGUAAAUCUUUGGGGUUCAUGGACAAUUCUGAGGAGGAGAUACUUAAGAGAGUGAUGUUAGAAUUUGAUGUUUUGGUUUAUUGUAUCAGAAAAUAAAAGAAAUUGGAUUUAUAGCUCAGUUUGUGGUUCAUAUCAAUUUAAAUAGCUUUGAAAUGCUGAUAGGACCAUCACGGUUUUUUGGUUGCUGAAAUCCCAUAACUAAAGCAAUGCCUCAAUAAGCUUUUAAUCCACAGCCCCCAUGCCCAGGUCUAUAACAAAGUUUUUAUAUGCCUAUGGGGAAAAACAAUUAUGAGGCAAACAUUUAUAAAGUUAAAUUUAUUACGUUUCUACUCCUAUUUUUUAUUCUGCUGGUGUAUUGUUAUAUAUUUUCCUACAUAUUUAAACAUUUUCUUCCUCUUAUAAAAUGUUAGUGAUUUUAAAUGAUGGUGUGUCCGGAAUUGGUUCCUUCUGGUGGGUUCAGUCUUGCUGACUUCAAGAAUGAAGCCACAGAUGCUCACAGUGAGUGUUACAGCUCUUAAAGAUGGUGUGUCCAAAGUUUGUUCCCUCAGAUGUUCAGAUGUCUCCAGAGUUUCUUCCUUCUGGUGGGUUCGUGGUCUUGCUGACUUCAGGAGUGAAGCCGCAGACCUUUGCAGUGAGUGUUACAGCUCUUAAAGGUGGUGCGUCCAGAGUUGUUUCUUCCUCCCAGUGGGAUUAUGGUCUCGUGCAGACCUUGCAUUGAGUGUUACAGCUCUUAAAGGGGGCACGGACCUGACCAUCCUGGCUAAAAUACAGUGAAACCCCAUCUCCACUAAAAUUACAAAUAUUAGCCCGGAGUGGUGGCAGGUGCCCAUAGUCCCAGCUACUCCGGAGGCUGAGACAGGAGAAUAGUGUGAACCCGGGACGCGGAGCUUGUAGUGAACAGAGAUUGCGUCACUGCACUCCAGCCUGGGCGACAGAGCGAG